rnacentral:rRNA from 1 species
AUUGAACGCUGGCGGCAGGCUUAACACAUGCAAGUCGAGCGGGGUGAUGGUGCUUGCACUAUCACUUAGCGGCGGACGGGUGAGUAAUGCUUAGGAAUCUGCCUAUUAGUGGGGGACAACAUCUCGAAAGGGAUGCUAAUACCGCAUACGUCCUACGGGAGAAAGCAGGGGAUCACUUGUGACCUUGCGCUAAUAGAUGAGCCUAAGUCGGAUUAGCUAGUUGGUGGGGUAAAGGCCUACCAAGGCGACGAUCUGUAGCGGGUCUGAGAGGAUGAUCCGGCACACUGGGAGUGAUACACGGCCCAGACUCCUACGGGAGGCAGCAGUGGGGAAUAUUGGACAAUGGGGGGAACCCUGAUCCAGCCAUGCCGCGUGUGUGAAGAAGGCCUUAUGGUUGUAAAGCACUUUAAGCGAGGAGGAGGCUCUUUUGGUUAAUACCCAAGAUGAGUGGACGUUACUCGCAGAAUAAGCACCGGCUAACUCUGUGCCAGCCGCCGCCGUAA